AUGACCUAUGUUGUGUUGAAGGGAUAUCUAUAUGAUCCGAUCGAUUGCACAAGACCUGCAGUAGCAAUAGAACGAGGAAAGUAUACAAAAAAGGCAGUUCUUUUCAAUUUCGAUUAUCUAUAUAUUAGUUCAUUUCUAUUUCUAGAUAUCUAUUUCUAUAUAUAA
rnacentral:rRNA from 1 species